GACGAACGCUGGCGGCGUGCUUAACACAUGCAAGUCGAGCGGUAAGGCCCUUUCGGGGGUACGACGAGCGGCGAACGGGUGAGUAACACGUGGGUGACCUGCCCUCAGCUCUGGGAUAAGCCUGGGAAACGUGGGUCUAAUACCGGAUAUGACUCCAUGACGCAUGUUGUGGGGUGGAAAGCCUUGUGCGGCUGAGGAUGGGCCCGCGGCCUAUCAGCUUGUUGGUGGGGUGANGGCCUACCAAGGCGACGACGGGUAGCCGGCCUGAGAGGGCGACCGGCCACACUGGGACUGAGACACGGCCCAGACUCCUACGGGAGGCAGCAGUGGGGAAUCUUGCGCAAUGGGCGAAAGCCUGACGCAGCGACGCCGCGUGAGGGAUGACGGCCUCGGUUGUAA
rnacentral:rRNA from 1 species